AUCCAGCUGACGAGUCUUAAAUAGAACUAAACGCGCGCCCUAGAU
rfam:Schistosoma curassoni strain Dakar, Senegal genome assembly, scaffold: SCTD_scaffold0000522